rnacentral:rRNA from 1 species
AGAGAGUGCAAGCGUUAAUCGGAAUUACUGGGCGUAAAGCGCGCGUAGGUGGAUGUUUAAGUCGAGUGUGAAAGCCCUGAGCUUAACUUGGGAAUUGCAUUCGAUACUGGGCAACUAGAGUAUGGUAGAGGGAAGUGGAAUUUCCGGUGUAGCGGUGAAAUGCGUAGAUAUCGGAAGGAACACCAGUGGCGAAGGCGGCUUCCUGGACCAAUACUGACACUGAGGCGCGAAAGCGUGGGGGAGCAAACAGGAUUAGAGACCCUGGUAGUCCACGCCGUCAACGAUGAGAACUAGAUGUUGGAGGGGGUUACCCCCCUUUAGUAUCGAAGCUAACGCGUUAAGUUCUCCGCCUGGGGAUACGGCCGCAAGGCUA